UUCAGCAUCAAACACAUUUAUUUCACUUAUAUUGAGUAUACAAGAACAGAGAGCACACGCAUACAGCACGGAGCACUGAGGUGGGGGAGCAUGGGGACGAGAAAGGAGAGAAGGGUGUGAGUAAAAAGGAACAGGACAGCAUCGCAAUUGGUUGUUAAGGUGCUUUUGAAAAAAAAAAUUAUUUCGAGUGAUGUUGCUCAUGCAGUUUCAGGCCAGUCUUGGAAUGUGCUUGCAGGAUUCAAAAACUGAAACAGGUCCUGGUACUUCCUGUACCCUCAGAUGGAAAAGAUCCAGAGAAAACAAAAUAAGAGAAAAUGAAGACCCAUGAGAUAGCAAAGUAGAAAAAGACCCUGGAGAGCAUCUGGUUCUUUCUGCUUAUUUUGCAAGUCGGGAAACUGAGGCCCAAGAGGGGGAAUGGGGAUAGCCUGAUGUCACAUGGUGAGUUAGGAGCUGAGCCAGGAUGGUCACCCAGAACUCCUAACCGCCCUCAGGGACUUUUUCCACUAUGCUACAUGGCCUCCUGGGUGGAGAGGUGGCACAGAGAGGAUGAGAAACAAAAAAGAGAAAAGGAAAAGUAGGUUGAAGACAGACAAGACAAACGUCUCUAUUCUCUACAAAGAGAAGGAUGGGGAGGAAACAGUGCCCUAGAUUCUAGCUUUGCAGGUCCCCUCCUCCCUCGUGGCACUGCCUGCAUCUCCGUAGAAGGGAGGUCACAGCAUCCGCGGGAUGGUGAUUUCCCCAAACCCUGGUGGCCCAUAAACUCCACAAGCUAAGCCUGGUCACUUCACCCCUGCCCCAAAGCCAGGUGCAAAAUCCACAACAAGGAUCCUCCCUCUGAGGUGUGUUCAGUGUGCUCAGGACUCCUGGUUCCUGCAAAGAUGAGUUCCUAGACCGAAGUGGCCCAGAGAGGAUGGAGCCACCACUCCAGCUCUUGACCCAGAAAGAGGGGGAACUCUCAAGAAGGGCAGGAAGAAGGUUCUGUGGCUUUUCCACCAGGAUUGUAGAAAGAACCUGGUGUAUGGAAAGUGUGCUGCUACACUCAGGGGGAGUUGGAGUGGACCCACCGGCCUGCACCAGGGGGAAUGCCACUGAUUCUGCUGCCCCGCUGAACUUCCCAUUUGCCCAGAGAAGCAAAUGCUAUUCUGAUUUCCUGCCCUGCCUCAGGCCAGCACCAGCUAAGCAGCUAAGGUGUAUGUCAUCACUGACAAGCCAAAGGGACGCAUCUAACCUGGGCCGCCUGGGGGCAUCCCUGGGCUAUGCCCCGAUAGGUUGGCGAGAGUGGGGAGAUGCUCUCAGAUGGGCCAGCCAUGGUUGAAAUAUAAAGCUGGCUCAGGUGGCUCCUCAGGUUCCGCCCUCCCCUCCCACCUUCUUCAGCCUGAGAAUAGUCCCUGGCACAAGCAGGUAAUCAGUAAAUACUUGUGGAAUGAAUUUAUUAACUGGUUUAGAAGGAGGACUGGGAGGUAAAAUGGAACUGAGAAAUUCGCAGUGCAGUGGGACAUUUUCCCUCAUCAAGGGGCACUUUCUGAGCUCAGAGAAGUAGCUUGUGGCAGACAAGCCUGAGGAAGCCCACGUGUGGCAGAGAGCAAUGCCAAGCUUGUGAUGGGAGCUUCUUGAAGGGUUCCUGUGGUCUUGGGGUAAUUUCUGGGCACAAGCUCAGAGUUCAGCUGUUGACUGAGAGGGAGGUCUCCAAGCCAAGGUCUUAUGCAGAGCUGGAGCCUAUGAGCAACAUCACCCGUCAGUCUCAGCUUUGUCCUGGGACAGGGGAGGGCUUUGCAAAUGCAGUUUUGAUCUUUCAGGGUCUGCCCCAUGAAGCCUCCUUACCAUGGCUACUUUGGCCUGAGAAGAAGAAAUGAUUCAGAACAAGGAAGAGAGUAGAGGAAAAGGCUUAGCUGGGAAUUUUUAGACAGUCAGGUUAAAGCCACCAUCUUCUACAAUGGCUGAGAGCACCACCUCCCUUUGGAUAUGGAGUUGGUUAUUACAAUGGGGUCAGGGAAGGGCAGAAUGUGGCAAAAAAAAAAAAAAGAGAGAAAGAGAGAGAAGACUGAAAACCAAGGCAAGCCCCGUAGGGAGAUAAGGACUAAGCCAGGGACCUCUACUGUGGCAACUUCAGCAGCAGAGUCCCAGACUGGGACCCAGUACCUGAGCACAGACCAGGCCCUGACUGUUACUACCAGGGGGGCAGGGAGAAGGUGUCUUGAACUGGCAUUUUGGGGACGACAUCUGUGUUGCUUCUUUCUUGCCAAACCCACACCUCUCCAUUAGGGCCCCCCACCCCUCCCCACCAAUCAACCAAUUACAAACACCACACACAGUAUUACUACACUGAACCCGUCAGCCCCUACUGUGAGCCAACCCACACCCAGAGUCCAGGUCUCCUUAGCUGGGCCAGUUCAGUGAGAUCUAGGAACCUCAGGAUACAUCAAUCACAGUCAGAUAAUUAUAAUUUUAGAAUGUCAGCUUCAUACUUACCAGCACUGUUUAUUUUAAUAUUUUUUCCUGUUAUAUGUAAUAUACAUAACUUCAAAGCACAUCCGUACAAACCUCCUACAAGCUGCACCUUCAUAAUGAGAAACCAUAAGCAUACAAUGUCUACUUCCCUUCCUGUGGCUUCGUUUUCUGUUCUUGCUUUCUUUUCUUUUUCUCAUUUCAAAGGAGAGUCAUCUGCAGUGGCCCUCAGAAGGACCAGGACACAGAGGGUGAAGGGUGUGGGGUGGGGGAAGGGGGAAGGGGGAGGAGGGAGCCGAGACAGAAAAUGACAGCAAGACAUUGAGAGUUGAGGGUGAGGGGAGGCGGGAGAGAGGAAGGUAGGUUUUGCAGCCCAGUGUCAAGAUCCAGAAAGUAAGAAUCCAGUGUUCCUCCUCUUUCUUUCCAAGUGGGGAAUUUUCUUUUUUUCUCGGAAAAUGGUUGACUGUGCGUGUCUUGCUGCUGUGACUUCUCUUGCUUUGCUGUGCAAGUGUUUUCCUUUGCAUUCAAGUGGGCCUUAGAGAUGCUGGAGAAGAACAAAUGGAAUUGCUCGUCUGCUAACUGUAACGUGCAGAACCAGGGCGGGAGGGACUUCUACAAUCAUCGUGGUCUGGCUUGCGUUUCUUAUUUGGCGGGGGAAAGGGGUGAGCAAGGGAUUAUAGUUAUUAUAUAAUUUUUUUUCUUGAAAAAAAUCCCACCAGUUCUUCAAUUUGUCUGCAAAGGAAAUGUAGGUGUUCAGAUGUCGGUUGUUGCUGUCAGCCAACUGCUCUGCCAGCCCCAGCAGCAGUGCAAGGAUGCGGUGUUUCCUGUAUAUAUAUCUAUAUCUCUAUAUAUCUAUAUAUAUAUGCUUUUCCCUUCCCAGUCUCUCAUCAGUGACAGUACGUCGCAGCUGGGACGUCAGUGUUGCGUCGGAGAAUCCAGAAUGAAGGCCCCUUCUUAAUGGUUCUCUGGCUUGGGUUGGACCAGAAAUGCCAGGAUCUCUUCACAGAGUGUUCAACACUGUGCCUGGCACAUAGCAACUACUCAAAAC
rnacentral:lncRNA from 1 species